rnacentral:rRNA from 1 species
GACGAACGCUGGCGGCGUGCCUAACACAUGCAAGUCGAACGGAGAUCUUAUGGACGGCGGCUUCGGCCAAAGAAAGUUUGAUCUUAGUGGCGGACGGGCGAGUAACGCGUGAGCAACCUGCCCUUCAGAGGGGAACAACAGUUGGAAACGACUGCUAAUACCGCAUAACGUCAUUUGGGGGCAUCCUCGAAUGACCAAAGAUUUUAUCGCUGAAGGAUGGGCUCGCGUCCGAUUAGAUAGUUGGUGGGGUAACGGCCUACCAAGUCGACGAUCAGUAGCCGACCUGAGAGGGUGAUCGGCCACAUUGGGACUGAGACACGGCCCAAACUCCUACGGGAGGCAGCAGUGGGGAAUAUUGGGCAAUGGGGGAAACCCUGACCCAGCAACGCCGCGUGGAGGAAGAAGGUUUUCGGAUCGUAAACUCCUGUCCUCAGGGACGAACAAAUGACGGUACCUGGAGAAAAAGCAACGGCUAACUACGUG